AUGAGCGAGCCUGCUACAUCUCCUUCUCUCUCCUCCCGGUCCUCUUCUUCCUCCCGACGCAGAACAGAGGAGAGCUGCUGCCGCCGGUGCUGUCGUCGACUGGGGGCACGAGUGAGCUCGCCAGCGACGGAUCUGGAACGGGCACUCCUCGCGGAACGGGCACUCCUCGCCGCGUUCGGGGGUGGCUGCGGUGUCGCUCGGGGCGGCCUGCAGCGUCGCCGCCAUGGAGGACCACGGCGGCCGAAAAGCUUCAGCGGGGAGUCACGCUGGCCGGGCUCCCUCGCCAGAGUUGGGGGUGGCGGCGGUCUUCGGGCUCCAGGGAGGUCGCGAACACCGAAGAAACGGAGGGGGGCGAGGGACUAG
rnacentral:rRNA from 1 species